rnacentral:rRNA from 1 species
CACAUGACUCUCGGCAACGGAUAUCUCGGCUCUCGCAUCGAUGAANNNNNNNNCAAAAUGCGAUACCUGGUGUGAAUUGCAGAAUCCCGCGAACCAUCGAGUUUUUGAACGCAAGUUGCGCCCGAGGCCUUCUGGCCGAGGGCACGUCUGCCUGGGCGUCACG